GAUGAACGCUAGCGGCAGGCUUAAUACAUGCAAGUUGAGGGGCAGCAUGAUAUACGCGAGUAUAUUGAUGGCGACCGGCGGACGGGUGAGUAAUAGGUAGGAGACCUACCUCAUACAGGGGGAUAGCAUAGAGAAAUCUGUGGUAAUACCCCAUGAGGUUAUAUGAAUAGAGGCAUAUAAUCAAAGCAUAAGCGAUUAUGCGGUAUGAGAGGGGCCUACUGACCAUUAGCUAGUUGGUGAGGUAAGGGCUCACCAAGGCGAAGAUGGUUAGGGGUUUGAGAGAGAGACCCCCAAUUGGAACUGAGAGACGGUCCAGACUCCUACGGGAGGCAGCAGUAGGGAAUAUUGGGCAAUGGGCGAAAGCCUGACCCAGCCAUGCCGCGCGAAGGAAGACGGCCUUAUGGGUUGUAAACUUCUUUACUACGCGAAUAGAGGUUAGUACGAGAUACUAAUAGGAAGUAGUGUAGUAAAAAGCACCGGCUAACUCCGU
rnacentral:rRNA from 1 species